UGUAACCUGUUCGACUUAAUCGGUACAAAUAUAAUCUCCUCUUGGUGAUCAGCGCCCACUGACAUGCUGCAACAUCUCUGGCAGGUUCCUCGGCACCCACUCAGGCCCUACCUUGUUCCACAGGGAGCAAGCCAGACUCACCCACAGUGAAGUUUCAUAUGUAACUGGUCUGCAGUUCUCAGGGUGACAUCACCCUGCUGGUUUUGAACAAGUAGGAAAGCGUUUCAGCAGAAUCAUAAGCAGCAGGAGGUGAAAACCACACUCACACUGAUCCCAAGAAGUGCUGCUCAAAUGCACAAUUGCAAAAGGUAAGGCGCAGUCAUAGCUUCCUUCACAUUUAGAAAUGGAGUCACUUUUUAAAAUGUAUAUAAUUUUAUCUAUUUAUUUAUUUAGGGCUGUGCUGGGUCUUUGCUGCUGUGCAGGCUUUCUUUAGCCGCAGAGCGGGAAUACUCUUUUUGUGGUACGUGGAAUUCUUAUUGUGGUGGCUUCUCUUGUUGCAGAGCACAGGCUCUAGGGCACUCAGGCUUCAGUAGUUGUGGUGCAUGAACUUAGUCACUCCUCAGCAUGUGCGAUCUUCCCAGACCAGGGAUCAAACCCAUGUCUCCUGCAUUGUCAGGUGGAUUUUAGCACUGAGCCACCAGGGAAGCCCAGAAAUGGAGUCACUUUAAAAAAAAAUAAGAUCACGUCAACCUGAGUGUAAAGCAGACCAGCUAUUAGGAGAGAGUUAACACAAUGCCAAAGUAAGAGACAUUGUUUUUGUGAGCACAGAGUGGAAUGUGCAGAUUAUCAACCUGGCAGGAGUCUUUUUCUGACAGACCUGAUAUAUAGACAGUUAUCACGGUUGAUGAUAAAGAAUGUGUCCAUCUUUAAGAUUUUCUUUCAGUCUUUGCUUUCCUGUAGCUUAUCAGUUAGUUAUUGAUGCAGGAAAAAACCACACUGCACAACUUAAUGGCUUUAAACAAUAACCAUGGAUUCUUUCUCACACAUCUAUGGGUCAGCUAGGCAGUUAUGCUGAUCUCAGCGGGGCUUGCAUAUGUGUCCGUGGUCAGUUGGUGGACCGAGAAGGGGAGAGCCCAGGAGGGAAAGCGUUCCACUGGGCAGAGCAGGUCAUGCAAACCCUCUCAAGGCUAGAUCCCUUUAACAUUCCCUUUGGCCAAAAUUUAUUAGUUGUCUUAUUAAUAAAGAUGAUGUAUGCUAGACACGUGGGGCUUCCCAGGUGGUACUAGUGGUAAAGAACACGCCUGCCAAUGCAGGAGACAUAAGAGAUGCUGGUUCAAUCCCUGGGUCAG
rnacentral:lncRNA from 1 species